rnacentral:rRNA from 1 species
GUCUAUGGCCAUACCACCCUGAACACGCCCGAUCUCGUCUGAUCUCGGAAGCUAAGCAGGGUCGGGCCUGGUUAGUACUUGGAUGGGAGAACUCCAAGAUUCAGGGAUGUCUCUGUUC